rnacentral:miRNA from 10 species
GCACACCUAUUAGCUUAGUGCAAAAGUAAGUGCGGUUUUUGCCAUUAAAAGUAACAGCAAAAACUGCGACUACUUUUGCACCAACCUAAUAUUUUUAUUUACAGCUUCACAUUUUCU